rnacentral:rRNA from 1 species
UACGUAGGGGGCGAGCGUUUGUCCGGAUUUAUUGGGCGUAAAGAGCUCGUAGGCGGCUUGGCAAGUCGGGUGUGAAAACUCCAGGCUCAACCUGGAGACGCCACUCGAGACUGCUAUGGCUAGAGUCCGGUAGGGGACCACGGAAUUCCUGGUGUAGCGGUGAAAUGCGCAGAUAUCAGGAGGAACACCGGUGGCGAAGGCGGUGGUCUGGGCCGGCACUGACGCUGAGGAGCGAAAGCGUGGGGAGCAAACAGG